UGCUGCCUGGAGAACAACCAAGGACGACAAUUAAGACCGGCCUGGUCUUCAAAAGGACAUGGCGCAGCAGGCUUUGAUGAGUGGUCAGUGUCCCUGGGAUGUGAUUCCACCCCAAACCUCCACAGAUAAGCACUGCCAAGAUCUAGACUGUGGCCAAUCUCAGCCAGUCGCCGUCUCCGACUUCGAUGGAGGACAGGCCAGAUCCCUGUGUGUGUUGAGCUGGAUCUCCCACUGAAGCCCCAGGAGGCUUACCCAACAGUUUUGUGCGUCUCCAUGAGGAUGGUCCCAUUGGGUCCCGGCACAGGCAUGGAGUUGUAGCGGAUGCUGACUUGGGACUUGCGGAGCAGGCUCUCGCGGGCUAUCUUCAGACCCUCGUAGAACAUGGCUAGCAAGAACACAGCUAUGAAAGCCCCGGCCAUUUCUGGUGGGAGAAGGAAUGGGACAAAAGUUGGAACCGGCCAAUGCGGUGUUUAAAUCCGUAGUCAAGACUGGGCUGGCCCAUCCAACCACAAGCAACCCAGAAGCAAGGUUGUUUACACUCAUGUAUCAUUUAAUUGUACAUUCCAAUUAUUCUUAAAGGCUUCAUGUAUUAAACCUGCAUAUUUAAAGCUUGAUGUGGGAGGUUCUAGAGGAAGAAUUACAGAAUGGUAGUUAUAGAUACAAGCAUUAAAUUCCCUGCAUUUAGAAAUUA